AACUUUCAAAAAAUUAUUAUUAUUUCAUUAUUUUAUGACGGAACCAAUUAGGAACUGCCAUUUAUAAUGAAAUUUUGAAAGUUUGUUUAGCAACACUUUAGAAGCAAAGCACCAGCACCCCCUAGUUUUGUAAAUACUUUAGAACUAUUUAGAACCAUGGAUUGCCCGUCCCUAAUAAACACAGAUGCCCUAAUCCAAGGAUCCUCUAUAGCUUGUUUGCUGUAUUCUGUGUGCAGACCUAAUCGGGAGUUUGACAACACAAGCAAGCAGAUUCAGAGUCCUAUUUACUUUAUUUCAGAAUAUUAUUGUAUGCAAGCAAGCAAAUAAAUUCAUCACACAUUGUGGGAAUAGUAGACAGUAAGGUGGUUUUCCUACUGGCCUUUCUCAGCACCAAUAAGAAUACACUGCCCAUUUAUUUCUUUUCCAUUCACAUAGUGCUUGUAGGACACUAUGUCUUUAUCAUGUGGCAGCAUCUGUGGACUGGGUUCAUAAUAUGAUGUGUAAUUCCUCCCAUUUUCUCUUUCUUCCUCAACCCUGACACUUUCUAAAGUUAAGACUGAUUGCUGGGCAUUUUUAACUUAAUGCUUGUAUAACUUUACAGGAAAUAAUAGUCCACCAAUAGAAGCAUCUUUUGUAUCUGCACACUUGGGAUAUUCUAUAAGACUGGUUAGAAGAGACGUCUACUCAUAAUAGCUUUCUGCUAAAAUGUGUUAUCAUAGGUUAGGUUGGUUUUGUUUUUAAGGCUAAGUUGACAAUAUGAUAGAAGCAAUAUUAAAAGUGUGCUUCUUCUAAGUAAGCAUUGUCAUAGGGAGUCUCCAUAGGUCCUGAGAAGUACUGCCCAGUGGUAGACUAUUUUCAGGAAGAAAACAGGCAAAGGAAGAAAGGAGACCUGCACAUUGAAUAAAGUGUUCUUCUAUCACUACGUCAUUAAUGACAGCUUAGAACAAUGGUUGGGAACCACUCACUUAGAGCCAUAACCCAGUCAAAGAGCUUAAUGUGAGGAUAUCCAUUUUCUGUGAUUCCCUCAAAUUUCUGUGGCAUUCAGUUGAAUGUGUAAAACAGCUAUCAUGAGUGUUGCUUCUUGUUAAUAAGAAAUGCUGUUCCUUCUCUAAUUGUACAUUUGGGCUGAUCUUUAGAACAUUAAACUAAAACAGAAAGGGCUACGUCAUGGAACUUUAUUGAUAACCAAGUAGUGUUCUGUUAAAAAGAGCCCUGUAAUGUUUUUGAUUACAACUCACAGAAUCUUGCUGCUGACUUUCCCAGUGAAGGUUGGUGGAAGGUGUAUGUCAGAAGCUUGUGGAGGGCUACUACUGAGAGCUGAGCCAAGGACCAAAGCUAGAUGCAUCCUCAGGCCCACUCCUUGAAUUUAGCAACCAGCAUUAUAGCCACUGUAUUGUCGAAGGCUUUCAUGGCCGAAAUCACUGUGUUGUUGUAGGUUUUUCGGGUUGGAUGCUCAUGUUGUAGAAGCAUUCUCUCCUCACCAGAUGCUUGCCACAGAUGCAGGCAAUAUGUCAGGAGAUAAUGCUUCUAGAACAUGGCUAUAUAGCCCGAGAAACCUACAACAACCCAUUAUAGCCACUUUCUGGACUGUUGUGAUACUAACAUUUAUUUUCUAAUGUAUAGUUUGUUUUAUCCAUUGUUAACCCCCCCCCCCCUCCUCCACCACCACCACCAAUAAACACACCCUUCAGAGGUCCAUACCUUGGGAAUUUCACACCUCCUGUCCCAUUUCCUCAGCCAUGACCGCCACCUCUGACCCUAGAGAAAUCAAAGACUUGUCUAGUUAAAUCUGAUCCAGGAAAUGAAGGCAUUGAUCUCCAUACAGAUUCUGCCCCACCAGUGAACUGUUCCUCUAGUCAUCCAGUUUCUAGCAUUGCAGCAAUUUAAAGCAUCAAUGAAACAUUUAGAAAUAGAGAGUAGACAUCUGAAAGAAUUUAAGUUAUAUAUAAUUUAAUUAAGAAAAGAGCUGGGAAGGUUAUCAAGGGAAAGUAAACACAGCAAAUGUAAGAAUUUUAGGUAAGAAUGAAUUGCAGCAUUCAUUUUCUGUAGUGAUGAGUACCUUGAGUCUGAUGGCCAUCUUGAAGAUGUCUUGUAGCCUACACAUUGAUGCUGUAAAAUCUACUUUUCCAAGCCUUUUUGCCGCAUUCUGACCAUUCUGAAUUAUUAUUUUGGGUAUCCUACUUUCUUUCUUUCUUUUUUUUUUUUUUGCAAAAGACCCUUUGCAGCCACAGCAUGGACCAAAAAGCAAACAAAAUAUAACCAAUACAAUUAAAUCAUAAUGGACAUACUGAUAUUUGAUGAACCAUCUCUGAAGUUUUCCUCAGAGAUCACACAUCACACUCAAAACAUUAUAACAACCACCACACAGCCUGGAGCCAUAUUCUUGUAUGAAGAAUUUGUCUACAAUGAAAAUUUUGCAACUUGGCAGGAACUUUUAAUGGGAGGUGGCGCAUACUUAAAUAUACGGGUUUCAUACAUAGGAAGCCAUAUUAGCUGAUCUCACUACAAACACGUCAUCAACUCUAGAGAAAGGAAAUACAGGAUGGCAUCCUGUUUGGAAUGUACCACAUUGUAAGCCCACUUAGGGCUGUGUACUUUAGAACUAUAGUAUUGCACAAGGGUUGUAUUCCCAAGUGGGGAGCAUCUUCCAGAACAUUGUGAAGAGGAGCAGGCAGCAUGGCUGCUGUGCAGUGCUCAUGAAGAACAACAGUAUAACAUUUUGCAGAACAUGUUACUCUUGUGUGAUGACAGCAUAUGGAGAGCAAAUAGAAUGUGCUCAACAAAGCCCAUGAGGCACUGGUAGUCCAGAACAUUAUGCAGUAGAAACCUGGGGAUGCUCUGUAUCUGUUAAAAAAAAUAUCCCCACCUUUUGCACUGCCCCAUUGCAUUGCAAGCAUAUUGCAUGGUGUUGUAUUGACUAUCAUUGCAAGACUGCUGUGUCAGCAAGAUAACUACAUCAUUUUAUUGCUGGCUUUUGUAUUGGCACCCAAGUUAUUAAACACCCACAAACCAUAGUGCCAGGACAGAUCAUAUGUAGCACAUAAACCUGAUGUUGCUUUGGUUGUCUGGUGUUCCACUGCUCUUAAUUAGCCAUUCGUGCUAUUGCUGUUGCCAGAUCUGUGCUAUCAAAAUUUGACAACACCCUCCCACCCUGAAUCUUAAUUCAGGCUCUACUGACAUGGCUUGAAGUAUCUUGAGAUGCAGCUUGGCAACAUCUUUCCCCAUCGGUCACUCUGUGCAACUUGAUAUCCGUGACUAGUGCUGAACCCAGGUCUUGGUAUGUUAUAGCCUUCCACACUGCGUGCAAGAGCUAUAAAGACGAUGUUCUACAAGCAUCACACCCAGUGCCAGCCUUCACCAACUUGGCAUCUUUCAAUGUGAUGGGCUAUAAUUUCAUUUCAGGUACAAUAAGAUCAUGAGACUUGUAGUCCAACAAAAUCCAGGUUAGGAGAGCUGUCCAUUAAGUGUACCUUAUUCUCCCAAAUGUUGAUCUGUAGUAUAUUGUUAAGCAGUCCAUAAAGUCGCUUAUUUUAGAGUAUAACAUUAGGCACUACUCAGUAGAGCUAAGCAUCUGUGAAAAACAAAUAUUGUAUUGCUGCUCUUUCAAUUUUAGGAAAUAACUACAAAUAUUCACUGGGGACUCCUAUAGCUUUUUAUGUCUCCCUGUUUACUUACUUGACGAUUCUGUUAACAUAGAACUCUCAUAUUUUCUUUUCCUGGGCUUUGCUCUGUAGCCAUACUCUCAAGUUACUAGUCUUCCUUUUUGUUAAUAUGUGCCAUUUUAGAAACCCCACUUCUUUUGUGCAGUUUUCCUGUACCAUUUAAUUUGUUUGGGGAGAUCAUUAUUUCACUUUCUUAUAUGACUGAUCUAUGCAGUUAGAUAUUUCAAAAGUUCUGUUGAAAGACAGUGACUAAAAAGUAUGCAUUUUUAUAGGGCCUUUGACUGAUGCUCCCACGUUGGCCUCUGUUCUUCUAAUGCGAUUGCCACUGACCGGUCUGCUAAUGAGAAGCUGUUCUAUUUUUUCCCUGGUACAAGUUUCAAUAGGCUUCAGUUGCAAAUCAAGAUCAAAGGCAUCACUAUUUCUGCAUUUUGAGCUUCUAUAAUGCCUUCAAGUCAGGGCUUGAACAAGUUCCUUUUUUUUUUUUUACCGUAGUAGCCAAACUGGCUGAGGAAUUCAAGAAAUUUAGUCCCAUGAAGUAACUUAUCCUGGCUCAAAUUAUUUUUAAAGCUAUACUUUUAAGGUUAUUCAAUUCAUUACCCAUAAAGUACAAUACCUCUUUCUCAAAUAACUUCCAAAAUCAGGGAUGAAACAGAAGAAAGAGAUAUGGGAUCAUAAUUAAGGAAAGAGAGGGCAAAACCAGCAACAUUCCAGAUACUGAGCUUCACAGUCUCUUCUGAGGGAUGUGUCAUGCCAUCUUGAUGAACCCAGGCUGCAGAAGGGCUAACCUAAAACACUGAUCAGUCAGCUGAAGAGCAUGCCCAGCAAUGAAGCAUUUCUGAAAUGUCAACUGCCAUCAGCAAGAGAGCAACUCACUGCAUUGAGGGAAAUGGAUGGGAACUGGGAUGUAUAUAGGCCAUGCGUCUUGCAUAUUAAAGGCCAUCUUCCACCUGCAGAGCUUCCAGCUAUCCAGAAGCGAAGACCAGCUCUCUAAAAAUAGAGCACCCAGUGGAUCUGUAGUUGGGGGCAGGUGGACAGGGAAUCCAAAUUCAGUUUUACAUCUGCUCCCUCACAACAUUUAUCCCAAAUUGUACAAUAGUUCUGUGCUGCCAAAGCUGGCUUAGGAUGUAGUCCAGCCCUUAUACAACUUGGAGCAAAUGUAAGAGGAACAGCUGUAAAAUCAAAAAGACGACAAACUAGCCAUGUAGUCAUAGAUGAAGCAGCUGUUUUGCUAGAAACAUAAAAGACAGGAGGUGGGUGCUCUAACAGGCUGGAAAACAUGCAAAAACUACUCCAGAAACACACUGAAAAAUGUGCACACCUUUAUCUCUAGGUGCUACCACUGGUUUUAAAGGGAAUUGGCUUAGUUUAAAUGGUCUAGCAGAUUGUCUUUUCCUAUGCAGAACUAAACUCAAUAUAGUGAUUUCAAAGGGCUUAACAUCAAAAGGCCACAUAACCAGCAAAAACAGUGUUUUCAUUAAUAGUUAAGAGAUUCAUGCUAUUUUUUGUUUAUUUAAAAUUGUGUUUUAUGGAGCUUCUAAGCAAGAGUGUUAAAUGUCCCCAACUCCACUCUCAAGGGAGUUUUCAUAAUUCAAGAGCAGGUUCCUUUUAGACCCAGGGCUGAAGAGGGCUUCCAGGGACACCUGCCAAAAAGCACUGCAUAUUUUGAGUUGUGAAGUGCCCACCUCUUCUCUCCUGCCUUGUGCUGUCGUUCCGUGCCACAACAUGCCUUUUCAGAUUACAACAAAAAAACAAAGCUAAAACAAAAAUCGUUAGACUUUCCCACUUUUUAAAAAAAGCACUGACAAUAUGAUAUUUUGCCUAUCAAACUAACAUCAUACAGCCCGAAAAACUUACAAUAACUUGCAUCAUGAUUAUAGAAAUAGAAACACAGUUUUCUUCAGCUACCCUGAUGCAAAAUGCAUUUUCCUGGGGAAUCAAUGCCAUUUUGUUAUUCAGAGGGAUAUUUCCCUUCCAAGUAAUGGCACAAAUCCUGUUGGAGCAUUGCAUGUUUGUAAGCGAGAUUGACCCUGCAAGGAAUAGAAAUGUGAGGGUUUGCAACCUCCAUAUCCAAUAAAGGCUACAGUUAUGUGACUCAUAGCAGAAGCAGCAAAAGGACUGGGGUGAUUUGGGACUAAUACACCAUGAUGCCCAUUAGGGCCACAAUGUGAGCUUAUUCUCCAUCUUGUGUAUUCAUGUAUAGGUUGACCUUGUAUAUAAGUUAGGUUUGUGACCUAAACAAAAAUUUAGUGGCAUAUGAUACAUAAUUUCCCUCCAAACUUUUACAAAUGUAUAAAGGGAACAUUCUGAGGAAGUGCUAAAGAGAAGGAGAGGAUCUGUUUAUUUAAGGGGUUACAAUGUGUAAAUUGUGGCACUGACCUUAAAAUUAAGACAGAAAGACAAAUACAGGUAGGGAAGGAAAUACAUAUGGGAAAAAAGAAUGGGAUGACGAAGAAGAGGAAGGAAAGCAA